UACGAAGGGGGCUAGCGUUGCUCGGAAUCACUGGGCGUAAAGGGUGCGUAGGCGGGUUUUUUAAGUCAGGGGUGAAAUCCUGGAGCUCAACUCCAGAACUGCCUUUGAUACUGAAGAUCUUUGAGUCCGGGAGAGGUGAGUGGAACUGCGAGUGUAGAGGUGAAAUUCGUAGAUAUUCGCAAGAACACCAGUGGCGAAGGCGGCUCACUGGGCCCGGUACUGACGCUGAGGCACGAAAGCGUGGGGAGCAAACAGGG
rnacentral:rRNA from 1 species